GAAACGCGAAAGGUAAUGCGAAUUGCAGAAUCAGUGAGUCAUCGAAUCUUUGAACGCACAUUGCGCCUCUCGGUAUUCCGGGAGGCACGCCUGUUCGAGCGCCAUUACACACCCCAAGCACGGCUUGAUGUUGGACGCUGUCUGUGAAAAGGACAGGUCUGGAACGCGUGGGCGCCGGCGCCGGACCACGAGCGUAGCAAGACGCAAGUCAUUCGCUCUGUGGGCUUACUCGGUGGACGGCCGUUUGGAUGCUGGGUAACACCUGUGUCGAGACACGAUACCAAAGUUUGGCCUCGGAUCAGGCGGGGAUACCCGCUGAACUUAA
rnacentral:misc_RNA from 1 species